rnacentral:misc_RNA from 1 species
GAUGAAGAACGUAGCGAAAUGCGAUAAGUAAUGUGAAUUGCAGAAUUCAGUGAAUCAUCGAAUCUUUGAACGCACAUUGCGCCCCCCAGUAUUCUGGCGGGCAUGCCUGUUCGAGCGUCAUUUCAACCAUCAAGCCCUGCUUGUGUUGGGGUCCUGCGGCUGCCCGCAGGCCCUGAAAACCAGUGGCGGGCUCGCUAGUCACACCGAGCGCAGUAGCACAUCUCGCUCAGGGCGUGCGGCGGGCUCCAGCCGUUAAAGCACCCACCUUUCGCAAGGUUGACCUCGGAUCAGGUAGGAAUACCCGCUUAACUUAAGCAUAUCAAUAAGCGGAGGA